AGUUUGACAUGCAUGGGCGGCACAAAACUAGCCAGCUUGCCAUCAAUGGCAGCGAGUCCAUGUGCCCUCGGCCAGCUGGUACCGGACGGGAUGGCACGAGCAGCACGGCGUCCCCGCCCUCGCAUGCGCCGCCGGCGUCCGCGCGUAAGGUCGUCGAGGCCCAUGGGGAGACGAGUAGCGGCAUCUAGGAGACGACCAGAGGACCAAUCGGAGAUGCAGCUUUGAACGCGGAAGUAUGGGGAAAAAGACGACUUCGUUCAUGAGGGGAGAAUGGAAUCCUCCAAAGAAGGAACUGCUUGCGAAUCAACUUGUGGUUGAGAUGGUUAGGUGGACAGUGGUAUCCUAACCCACCAGGGUUCAAAUCCUGGUGCUCACAUUAUUCCUGGAUUUAUUUCAGGAUUUCCGGCGAUGCGCUUUCAGUGGGAGGAGACGUUCCCGUCGACGACGAGGUGCCUACGGUGACUUCAUAAAUCUCAAGAUGAUGUGCCGGCUCAGUCUUUCGGAGGUGCUCAUAGGGGUAGGAUGUGCGUGUGUGCGUUCACAGGGGUGAGUGUAUGCGCGUGUAUAUGAGUGCUUGUGUCUGUACUGAUACUAAAAAAAACAAGGAACUGCUUAGAGCUGUUUUACACUUUCCAAAGCCAAACAACUUUUUCUACAAACUGAUUUUUUGUAAAAAAAGUAAGUAAAACAGAUUUUGCAAAAAACCGGCUAAAAACUUGUUUUCUAUAAAUCCAUUACUAAUACUUGCUAUCCAAACAACGCCUAACUGCCCCAUCCAAGGAGACGGGUAAGAUCGCGACGGCGACUGGGCGAGGGUGAGGAAGCCCUUUUGCCUUGAUCGUGGAGUUGGACACCUCCAGAUCCAGAUCCAGAUCCGCGCCUAGCCGUGUUCAUCUUCAACCGCCAAGACGCCCGCCGCCGCCGCCGUCGCCCCUGAGGUAUAUAUUCAUCCGCCACGAGCGCGUGCACCUGCCUUUCCCUCUGCCACGGCUUGCCUUGCUGGCUCAUUGACUAGCAGUUGUUUCUUCUUUUGCUAUGGAGUCUUGUUGUUGCUGAUCUGGAUCUGAAUCUAUUGCAUGCAAUUAUAGACAGUUCUGAUCUAUGCAAAGUAGCGUUACACUGGAUUUACUGCAUUCUACCUGGAUCUUUUGAUUUAUUGAUGUAGUCAAUUACAUGGUUUGGUUCCCCAUUGAUUUUAGUUCAACGGCAAUGUGAUAGCUAGUUAACCCUAUUUGAGUGCGCAGAAUUAACCAGUUUUUUGUUCCUGAAAACUAAAAAGUGCGCGCUCGCUAUUUGGACAUCUCGAGCGGCCGCUCUGUCACACACAUGCAUGUGUAUUUUUUGUCUCGUAGCGCAUGUUGGUGCUGGCAUUAAAUGUGUUUACACUAGUCUCAUCAGUUAGAGAAAACAGAUCCACGUACUUUUAUUUCGGGAUUUCAAAUUGUUUUAAAGCCAUAUCUUUUAAACCACACGUCAGAAUUCAGUCCUGUUUUCACCGUUGGAUUCAUCGCGACGAGAUCUUUAAAACUAGAUCCCGCAUGGAUAUGUUUCGAUGAAAUUUUUUUAAUGCCAACUUUGAUGCUAUAUUGUGCAACUAAAAUACUGCAUUGUGCAACUUUAGUACUACAUGGUGCAACUUUUUUAAAAUCAGUUGGCUUGUAAUUUAUUCUAAUUGUACACACAUUGAUGUUUUAGUUGGCUUAUAAUGUAGUCUAGUUGCACACACAUUAAUGUUUAGUUGCCAGAAGGACUAGUUGCAGACACAUAUGCUUAGUUGGCUUGUAAUUUAGUCUAAUUGCACACAUAUUGAUGUUUAGUUGGCAGGACACUAGUUGCACACACAUAUGCGUAAUUGACGCCGCAAUGUAGUCUAGUUGCACACACAUUGAUAUUUAGUUGACAUGACUAGUUACACAUAUAUAUGCUCAGUUGGCGCGACAAUGUAGUCUAGUUGCACACACAUUGAUGUUUAGUUGGCAGGACUAUUGGCACGCACAUAUGCUCAGUUGGCAAGGGAAUGUAGUCUAGUUGCACACACAUUGAUUUUAGUUGACAGAAAGACUAUUGACACACACAUAUCCUCAGUUGGCACGGCAUGUAGUCUAGUUACACACAUAUUGAUGUUUAGUUGGCAGAAAGACUAGUUCGUUGAAACAUACCCAUGCGGGAUCUAGUUUUGAAGAGCACGUCGCGAAGAUUCCAACUGUGAAAACAGAUCGCAAUUCUGAUAUGCGGAUUAAAAGUUAUGCCUUUUUAAAAUUCUGAAACCACAAAUAAAUGCAUAGGAGAACAAAGUGCAUGCACCGAAAGAUAUGGCUGUGUUGCUAUUUAAUACGUUGCGGGAAAAUGGAUUAGAUGAGAAAGAUUUUCUAAUUAGGAGAAGGGACAAAAUUUUUUCUUAAAUAACUGGCCGCUCGCUAAUCAUACUGUGCGGCUGGGCGCCGGCUAGACACAUCCUUUUUUGUUUCUGGUUAUGUUCGCAGCCUUGGGAGGAACUUGUUUGGUUGCCCUACUUAAAUAAAAGAGGACCAGGUAGGGUCUGCUAGGCGAGCAGCACAGGCCUGCUCUUGAGGUCUCAGUUUUCUUCUUUUUUUGUUUCUUGUUAUUAUUCUGCCUUUUGUUUUCUUGUUAUUUUGUUAUCAUCCAAUCAUCAUUGUUUGCUGUGCUCUCUUGAGCCGGAACAGAGAAGAGAUGACGCUAGAUCAAGCUUCUGUGGUGAUUCUGGAUACUCCCACUGAUUUUGCUUUGUUCAGUGUUAAUGGUAGGAUAUGUUCUGAACCACAGGUAUGCAUGCAACCAGUUCUGAACCGUCCUUACAAAUCACUCACUUUAAUUCUACUCCCUCCGUAAACUAAUAUAAGAGUGUUUAGAUCAUUAAAGUAGUGAUCUAAACACUUUUAUAUUAGUUUACAGAGGUAGUACUUCUUAUGAUCCUUCACCUCUUACUGCAGAAACUCUGGACGUGGUUUAUCAUGGAUAACGUUGCUGUGGAAGUUUGUAUUCCUUAUUCUCCCAUGCUUUUCAUUAGCACUUGCUCCUCAUUCUACCAUGCUUUCAUUAGCAGUUGCUUUGGUCGUUCUCUCUUAUUGGCAUUGCACCAUGGAUUCAUUAUAAUCCAUGCAUCUGCUAGCUUGAGUUCUCAUUUUACCUUGACUAUCACCGUCAUUGAAGAGUUAGUCAGUUUGCAACUAAAAGUACAUAAAAAAUGCCCUACACUGCAAAAUAACAGCAAUGAAGUAACCAAAAUUACACAAUGAAGUAAUCUGUUGAAAGUGCAGUGUUAGUGUGUUCCAUUUGUAGUAAGUUUUCUACUCCCUGAGCUUUCUAUCUAAUAUUAUCAUUCUGUUACUCUUUCCUUAACAGGUUAUCCUCUUUCUCGAGUACAUCAAGGUUGAUGGCAAGUCGGCUGUGAUGGGUCCUAACGGUCCUGGUGAGAGGCUUACUUUUCAAUCAGGAGGCACUGCAAACAUAUACCACAACUGGUUGUCGAGGAUGAAAAUCUUAGAGAUGCCAUCAUCAAGGCCAAUCUGGGAGUUGAUUGCUAUGAUGACAAGGAUGUUAUUCAUGAACUGAUGUGGGGGUUAAGGAACAUGAUGCCGUAUUUUGUUCGCAAAGAAAAAUACAACAGCACUCGCGAGUAUCUUCUCCCAUUAUGUCAAGGAUUUAAGGAUUGUGUGGAUAAAUUUGGAAUCAAUAUUUCCCCAGAAGCAAUUGAUAAAAACUUCAUAGCCUAUGUUGGUUCGUUGGAUCGAUGUGAUGCAAUACUGGAGCAUGCUACCAAGGUGGUGCGUGAAACGUGUGAGAAGCUGGUUCCUGAUAUUAGCCAAUUUAUUGAGGAUCACAAGAUCUAUGCGGAAGUUAUGGCAAAGAUUUUGACCCCUAUUGCGGUGGAAGAAUGGCAACCCUCCAUCAAGCUGCUCCUCGAGGAUGUGGUGGAGAAGAUAAUGGCUGCUGAUGCUGUAGCAGAAGCUGCACGAGCAAAGGUUGAUUCUGACAUGUUUUGUCUAAUAAAAUAAAUUAGUGCCUUCGGAUCCUUAAGCUUUACCCUGGAUGGAUAAAGGAGUUGCUUCCGAAAAUCAAACGUUUGGCUGAUAAAUCUUCUGGACAACAAAAGAGGAGCCACACAGUGGUAGCUGGAAAAGUAAGCCACGACUGCACUGGUGCUAAUGGUGUGCACACGAAAAAACUGAGGUCUGUCGAGGGAAAGCUUGGUCUUGAAGCAGAUGGUUAAUAAGUUAUGCAGAUUUCUUAGAGCUUAUUACUAUCUAUAUAGUAUAACUGUUGAAACUCUGUCCUCAAACCUACAUUA